GGCCUUGUAGCUCAGCUGGAUUAGAGUAUUUGACUACGAAUCAAAGGGUCGGGAGUUCAAGUCUCUCCAAUGUCA
rnacentral:tRNA from 1 species